AAAAAAAAAUACAUGAUAUAUGAGCUACCUGUGUGGCUGCAGACAGAGAACAAGCCUGUGCGCCUGCGCUUAAUUGCGCGGCUGCGGGUGGCCUUCUUGCUAUUGGCUGCAGUUUGCGCGGUGGUUUUGAUUUCAUUUCACACUGUGAAGAUUUUUUUCAUACUUUACUUCUUUGGGCUGCAAGGCCCAAAGGUUAUAAACACAAACAACUUUUUUUUUUUAUUACAAACAACCAAAAAAUUUUCUAUUGAAAUAAAAUAUUUUAAAACUUUCAACAACGGAUCUCUUGGUUCUCGCAUCGAUGAAGAACGUAGCGAAUUGCGAUAAGUAAUGUGAAUUGCAGAUUCUCGUGAAUCAUUGAAUUUUUGAACGCACAUUGCGCCCUCUGGUAUUCCAGAGGGCAUGCCUGUUUGAGCGUCAUUUCCUUCUCAAAAACCCAGUUUUUGGUUGUGAGUGAUACUCUGCUUCAGGGUUAACUUGAAAAUGCUAUGCCCCUUUGGCUGCCCUUCUUUGAGGGGACUGCGCGUCUGUGCAGGAUGUAACCAAUGUAUUUAGGUAUUCAUACCAACUUUCAUUGUGCGCGUCUUAUGCAGUUGUAGUCCACCCAACCUCAGACACACAGGCUGGCUGGGCCAACAGUAUUCAUAAAGUUUGACCUCAAAUCAGGUAGGAGUACCCGCUGAACUUAAGCAUAUCAAUAAGCGGAGGAAAAGAAACCAACCGGGAUUGCCUCAGUAACGGCGAGUGAAGCGGCAAAAGCUCAAAUUUGAAAUCUGGCACUUUCAGUGUCCGAGUUGUAAUUUGUAGAAGUAGUUUUGGGGCUGGUCCUUGUUUAUGUUCCUUGGAACAGGACGUCAUAGAGGGUGAGAAUCCCGUGUGGCGAGGAUCCCAGUCCUUUGUAAAACGCUUUCGAAGAGUCGAGUUGUUUGGGAAUGCAGCUCUAAGUGGGUGGUAAAUUCCAUCUAAAGCUAAAUAUUGGCGAGAGACCGAUAGCGAACAAGUACAGUGAUGGAAAGAUGAAAAGAACUUUGAAAAGAGAGUGAAAAAGUACGUGAAAUUGUUGAAAGGGAAGGGCAUUUGAUCAGACAUGGUGUUUGGACGCCCUGCGCUCCUUGUGGGUGCAGGACACGCUUUUCACUGGGCCAACAUCAGUUUUGGCAGCAGGAUAAAUCGCCAGGAACGUAGCUGCCCUCGGGUAGUGUUACAGCCUGGUGGAAUACUGCUAGCCGGGACUGAGGACUGCGUCUUUGACAAGGAUGUGCAUAGACAGAGUU
rnacentral:rRNA from 1 species